rnacentral:rRNA from 1 species
AUUGAACGCUGGCGGCAGGACUACCACAUGCAAGUCGAACGAGUGGCGGACGGGUGAGUAAUGUCUGGGAAACUGCCUGAUGGAGGGGGAUAACUACUGGAAAAGGUAGCUAAUCCCGCAUACCAUCGGAUGUGCCCAGAUUGGAUUAGCUUGUAGGUGGGGGAAAGGCUAACCUAGGCGACGAUCACUAGCUGGUCUGAGAGGAUGACAAGCCACCCUGGAACUGAGACACGGUCCAGACGCCUAGGGGAGGCAGCAGUGGGGAAUAUUGCACAAGGGGCGCAAGCCGGAUGCAGCCAUGCCGCGUGUAUGAAGAAGGCCUUCGUGUUGUAAAGUACGUUCAGCGGGGAGGCGUUACCCGCAGAAGAAGCACCGGCUAACUCCGUGCCAGCCGCCGCGGUAAUAC